ensembl:lincRNA
CUCGAGCCGACGCGGGAGGUUUUUUUUUCUUUUUACCUAUUAUAUCUCCUUUUGAGCAUGUCAAAAACUCGAAAACCAAAAUAUUUUUAUUUGCCUUUCUUUUCUUCCCCAAUCAUGACCAAAGGGAACAAGAAAGGAUUCCUGUUUUUCAUGACAAUUCCUUCUUGGGUCUUCGGCAGGCAUAGUAGAUAUAACCCACGGGCAUGUUCUCAUCAUACAUUAUCAGUGAGGGGAGUGUAUCUUGCUCUCCGAUUUUCAUUGGAAUCAUGGAUGGGUCUUUGUCAGGACGUUCAGAUGAUGUUCAGGACUUUGGAGGGACAACAAGCAUGGAUUGGAAAUCUUACCUGGUGGAAUGGAACGAGGUUGUCGAGGUUAACAGCUCCACCGAUUGUGAUGUCUGUUCACUGAAUAUUUACUCUGAAUUCCCAUUUCUACCAAUACACACUCAUUUGAGGAACACGAAGAUGGAUGUUUCCUGCCAUGAGGCUCGGGCCGCGUUUCACGCUGUGCACUCUUUUCUGCCUCAAAAUCGAUGCACCCAAGCUCCGUGGUCUGUUUGGAAUAACAACAGUAUUCUCAUAUUUAUUGUUACCGCGCAUAUCCCACUCUAUUCUCCUGCCGUGCACUUUGCCAGCACUCUGCUGUGAUGCCCUUUUGUCUGAUUCGGGGUCCUUGCGAGACCCUGGUAGAUCCCAUUACGUUGCUCAGCCGAAGAUUCGAUCCAGCCACGUGAUGCCUAUCAGCGCAACACUGGGCUGCUUUAAGACUUCCAAUCCGCAGGAUAACACGGUCGUCAGACGCGUGUCCGGAAGCAAGAUCUCAAAGUGGUCGACUGUUGCGAUCGUUUUGAUGGUGACCCAUGGGGUUCGAGCCGGACAACUGGACCAUUCCGACUGCUGUAACAAUAUCAUAACAUUGGCAUAUCUUGCACUAUUGAAGCUGUUAAGAGAAGGCCUAAUCCUGGCUCGCCGCUCCGGCUGUACCUCCAUCGAUCGCAGAGAGCACUCAUCCCACUGAAAUGGACUCCCGGAUGGGCAAUUACACACCCGAGGAAUCAUAGCCCACAGUGUCCUGUGAAAAAAAAAACAGAAGGAUCCUGUUGAUAUUCUGAUUUACCUCGUCCAUGUGGAGAGAAAAAGAACAACAACAUGCAACUUGGAACUGUUCCUCUGCAUAUCUACAAGGCUGUGACCUGGGACCUCAAGCUUCACGUCAGUUCAGCGAUGCACGUAACGUGAUGAUGUUGUGACGCAGACAUUGUGAAUUUGAACGAUUACCCAAAGCUAAACUCCUAAUCCAUCCAUCCAUUGGGACCAUACUCUGUGCAGAGCGUUGGUGCUGCUUCAGCAGUCUCCUUGGCUAUUGACACAAUCCUGGACGGGUCGCCACUCCGACACAGGAUACCAGCAAGUUGGCACUCAUUUUGCCGACCUCUGAAGGAUGACAGGCAGAGUCAACCACACCUGGUAUUAAUUCAACAGCCAAGUGGGAUUUUAACUCAGGAUCCUCAAAUCCCAAGCCCACCACCACCCUAACCAUAAAGCCAACACCAGGCAUAAACUGCACAUGGGCCACAGGUAACACCUUCGAGGCCACGAUUUUGUUGGUCUUGGUGGUGCGGCGGUUCUUCCAUUACCUGAGACAAGUGGAGACCCUGAAGGGUUGAUGAGAUCUCCUGAAUUUCUCGUCACAAAUAUCCCGCUCACAGAUACAGAUACAGCCUGUUUCUGCAACAGUAACUGAAUUCUGAAACUCCGGCAUUUUCGCGAGCUCGAUCGGAGUUUAAUUGGGAAGCAAGGAUAAUGAAAAGAUCAGGUGGACAUUUGUUAAAGUUCCACACAAAAUAUCUCAUGAAUGUUGAAAAGCUUAAUUUAUAAACGGAGUGCUCUACCCUUUCUGGGAAUAAUUUUCCAUGGAAAUAUCUGCCAGGAAUGAAAUGAUUCAAUGCCUAUGAUUCCACUGGAAAUUGUAUUUAUCUCAUUUAUUAAGCAAACUUUGUUGCAGGCACGGACGAUUGUGACUGAACUCAGCGACGCGUGUGUGUGUGUGUGUGUGUGUGUGUGUGUGUGUGUGUGUGUGUGUGUGUGUGUGUGUGUGUGUGUGUGUGUGUGUGUGUGUGUGUGUGUGUGUGUGUGUGCGUGUGUGUGUGUGCGUGCGUGCGUGUCCAGACUUACAGAUUUAGUGUUUUCUAUACAAAAGUUUGAGAUAAAAUUGCUUCUACAUUGUUCUUGGCUGUAGUGAUGUUAUACGACCUUGAUGUUCCUCCUCUGAAUACUUAUUAUGUAAUCAUAUUGCACACUCAUGUUGCUUUCAAAUUAAAUGUAGUGUGGAUUCCAUUCUCCUUUCGUAUUGUUGUUUAUUUGCAGGAGAUUGAGCAACGCGGUGUAUUUUGUUGUUGUGCAAUAUUGGCUGGAAGGAUGAUCGAGAGCUGCGCACACUCAUCAAUGAGUUGGUCCAGCCUGAGUUCGAAUCCCGACACAGCUAUAAACAGUCAUCUCGGUGUUUCGCAGGCAGGAUGAAUCAUCAUCAAUGGGUGUUCCCGAUUUUAUGUUCACCUGGG